rnacentral:lncRNA from 10 species
AUGCUCACAUGGACAAAUUAAGGCUCUGGCUAAGGUGUCAUGUUGGAGCAUUGCAGACUGCUCUUCUCCCUUCUGCCUUUACAUACAAGAUGCCUGUUGCUGAGAACACUUGUUCCCACUUCUCUAGCAGGCAAGGAUCUGGGCAGGACAACAACCACAGGUUUUUAACUCUUUGAAGGCAGGACUGUGUAAAAAUAAACACAACUAGAUCUGUUACUUGGCAGUGGAAGACUGGAUUAAAGAUGGAUGUCUGUGUACCCAAGGGUGCCCAUUUCUUAAGCAUGAAUGUGCUUUCCUUUUGGAAUAAAGAAGAAGGUAGCUGGGGAAAGACUGGAAAUUAACAGGUUUCAGUGAUGCAGCGGAGGACAAGGCUGACGUCAGGAUGAUGCCACUGUGUAGAUUCUAAAGGAGGCUCUUCUAUUAAUGCCAUUACUACAUCUAGUGCUGGUAUCUGCAUUGUGCUAGGUAGAAGUGGAUCAUUAUAAAGGUCUUCUUCCUCCUUGUCUUCACAUUGAGUAGGCUGAGGAGGAGAAAGAGGAGAGGUUUGUUUUGCUGUUUCAGAGGUGGCAGAGGUAGAAGAAGAAAGUCCACAUGUAAGUAGACUUGCACAGUUCAAACCUGUGUUGUUCAGCGGUAAUCUGUAUACUCUUGUGGUAUAAAUGAACACAUUAAAGGCUGAGAAUUCUUAUAAUUAAAAAAAAAUCCUAACCACAUGUGCUUUCUCAUCAUGUG